UACAGAGGUCUCAAGCGUUGUUCGGAUUCAUUGGGCGUAAAGGGCUCGUAGGCGGCCAACUAAGUCAGACGUGAAAUCCCUCGGCUUAACCGGGGAACUGCGUCUGAUACUGGAUGGCUUGAGUUUGGGAGAGGGAUGCGGAAUUCCAGGUGUAGCGGUGAAAUGCGUAGAUAUCUGGAGGAACACCGGUGGCGAAGGCGGCAUCCUGGACCAACACUGACGCUGAGUGAGCGAAAGCCAGGGGAGCAAACGGGG
rnacentral:rRNA from 1 species